rnacentral:rRNA from 1 species
ACGUGAUCUGAGUUCAGACCGGAGCAAUCCAGGUCAGUUUCUAUCUAUAAGGAGGUUUUUCCAGUACGAAAGGAUAGAAAAAACAUGGCCUAUAUAACAACAAGCCAUCGCUAUUAAAUUUUGACCCCCAUCUCAAAAUAUACACAGCCCCCCACCCAGCCUAAAAUAAAGGCA